GAUGAACGCUGGCGGCGUGCCUAAUACAUGCAAGUCGAGCGAACGGACGAGAAGCUUGCUUCUCUGAUGUUAGCGGCGGACGGGUGAGUAACACGUGGAUAACCUACCUAUAAGACUGGGAUAACUUCGGGAAACCGUAGCUAUUACCGGAUAAUAUUUUGAACCGCAUGGUUCAAAAGUGAAAGACGGUCUUGCUGUCACUUAUAGAUGGAUCCGCGCUGCAUUAGCUAGUUGGUAAGGUAACGGCUUACCAAGGCAACGAUGCAUAGCCGACCUGAGAGGAUGAUCGGCCACACUGGAACUGAGACACGGUCCAGACUCCUACGGGAGGCAGCAGUAGGGAAUCUUCCGCAAUGGGCGAAAGCCUGACGGAGCAACGCCGCGUGAGUGAUGAAGGUCUUCGGAUCGUAAAACUCUGUUAUUAGGGAAGAACAUAUGUGUAAGUAACUGUGCACAUCUUGACGGUACCUAAUCAGAAAGCCACGGCUAACUACGUG
rnacentral:rRNA from 1 species